CAGCCUGUGCUGUUCCGUGUGCGCGGCGCAUACGCACCUGGGUUGUCUCGAGCCUGCGGUAGUGGCCAGAUCCCAGACAUCCGAGUAGAUCCCGUGAAAAGCUUCUUCUUGGUUUCUUCGUACAUUCUGGAUCCACCCCUUUCAUGCAUAUUCCAGACCACAUUUCCACUGGAGCAGUUGAAAUGAGAGAGAUGGGAAUGGGACUCACCCGAACCAGAGGAAUUUUUAUUACAGACCCAUUAACAGAGGUGUCAAAGUCACAGGAACAAGGAUGUGCACCUCAGAAACACAGAGAAAGACCUUAAAUGCUCUGGGGGAUACGGACUGA
rnacentral:lncRNA from 1 species